AUUAUUAAUGGCUGUAGCACUAAAGUUCUUGGAAAAAAAAAAAAAAGCUCACUUGAGAACCAUGUUUUUUGGAUUAUAAAAUAUCUGAAAGAUAUUUUUCUUUUCUUCAGCCAAAGAUUGCCCAGUUUUCCCAAGCAGAAUUCAUUCCAUGCCACCACAUUGGAUCCCUGGGACCAAAACUCAUCUUUGAUGAUAAGCAGGCAAAGAAGCCCAUUGCAAUAUGUUCAUCACUUCUACCACACAGCUCUAUUCAUGUGCAGGAACAGAGAUUUGAAAUAGGGCUGCCUAUUCUGGAGAUUGACCAGGUUACGUUUGGGGACUACACUGGUCCUGCAGGACUCAGUUCUGCUCCCUGGAACUACUGAGGGUUUUCUGAUGUCACUGAAGAUUCAAACCGUUCUCUUGUCAAAAGCAGAAUCCAAGAGUUGUGGGACGAGCUGUGGGUAGACACAGACGUGGUUUGUCUAUCUGGAGCGUGCGUUGUGGUGGUUGAGAUUUCCGCCGACCAACGUGCUUUGCAAAAGACUUGUGGUGUUCCCAGCAUAGGGAAUUUGUCCGCCAAGCCAUCUUCAAGACAUGUCUGCAUCGCUGCUGGAGGGAUGCAGAGGUGGUUCCACACAAUUGGGAAAAUUCAUGGGCAAGGUAAUCCCCACCAGCUCUGCAUGCAUGGACACUAGAUCCAUUGUGCUUAAAGAUGAAGAGAACAGUAGUAUGAAGACCUACAAAUUAAGAUUAGAGACCUGCCCUUCUGAUGGAUGGAAGAAAAGGGAGACCCAGGAGAAGGCUCUCAGUGUAAUUACUUGAGAGGAAAUAUGGGCUAGCUGGGCCAUUUAUAUGCUAUUGCUGUUGGAUGCUCUUCUUUGUACUAUGCAAGCAUGUCCCUAGAUUAACACUAUCCCCAUGGAGUCAGCCAACACAAAAGUCACUCUUUGCCUCGUGGGCACUGAGGUCCUCCUGAGUGCACAACCAUAAUAAAGAAAAUAACCUGGAGCUGCA
rnacentral:lncRNA from 1 species